AUAUAUAUUAUUAGUGUUGUUUUAAUUUUUCUUUCUCUGAUGAUUUUUUUUUUUCAUUUAUAAUUUGAUAUGGAAGAUGUGCAGAUUAGUGCAAGGAGAAUACGGAUAUGGUGGCACUACAUAUAUGUUUGUUAUUGGAGGGGAUAUUAAAAAAUAACAUAUUUUGUNNNNNNNNNNNNNNNUGUGCUACAAUAUCAAAAUAGAGUGAUAUUAUUUACUGAGAUUGGUUGUUUUGAUUAUCUCUUUUGGUACUUUUUUGCUCAAUUUCUUCAUCCAAAUUUAAUUUUCUUCAACAUUUUAAUGAGUGGAAAAGUUCAAUACAGUUUAAUUAAGUUAUCAUGUUAAUUUUCA
rnacentral:lncRNA from 1 species